GCAUGGCAACAGCAGGCGGACUUAGGCAUCGCUCCAAGAAAGCAGAAGCUGAGCACAAGGGGAGGGGAAGAAGUUAGAAAUAAAAUGACAUCCACAUCAACUGUCUGCUUUAUUGCUUUAACCGAGAGGUUUUAUAAGCAAAAUCCUGUAAAAAACUGGCAUGGAACCCUUUCAGGCUGUCUUUCAGAGGGUUUCUACCUGUUAUCCAUCUUCACCUGACACUCCUAGGAGAGGGGAGUGGCAACAAGCUGCUGAUUUACUCACAGCCCUGAAGUCAUUAAGCAGACGUGAAGGAAUCCACUCCCCAACACCUCAAUGAGUAGACUGUUUGAGGUGAUUAACCUGCUGCAGGUUGAGCGGCGCCCACAUGCUUCUGUCCUGAAGAAACCAUAGAAACGGGGUCAGCCUGUUGCUACGGAGAAACGGUGAGGGAGAGAUGAAGAUGCUCUCCUUUUGAUUUGUCGUUCCGACGCCAGCUGUGGAGUCUACCCAGUUAAAUCAGAGAGAAGAUGUUUCAGUGAAGUUGUUCCCACUUAUAUAAAGCCAUUCUGGAAUGCAGGAUCCAAAACCAAGAAGAGCUCCCGGUGUUAUUUAUCCUGCAAACACGUCUCCAACAUUGUGGAAAGGUCAGUCCAGCAGCUGCACCCUCCUCUUCCUCAGCCGGGCCUUUGGAAUGUCAUGGAGAAAUAAGCUGGAUGCCCCUAGAGAAGAUGUGGGUCUGAAGGCAGCAGAUGCUGCCCUAAAAUCUCUGCUGGACUUUUCUG